CCAUGUACAUUCCAUCAAUUUUCUACAUUCAAUUCAAAUUCCAUAAAUUUUCUACAUUAAUCCAAUUUUCAUGGCAAUUCAUUACAAAUCCAAACAAGCCCAAUUUCAUGGCAAUUCAUUACAAAUCCAAACAAGCCCAAUUUCAUGGCAAUUUCUCCGAUCUUCAAGAUAUUCCAAGCACACAUGAGCUUCACAAACAUUCCCCAUUUACUUAUAACCUGCAAAAUCAAUUAAAUUUUUUUUCAGUUUCAACUAUAACUCAUACCAGGGCAUUAACCAUAAUCUAUUCUACUCUUUGAUUUAGCCAAGAUUUGCAGCCCAUCUCAUCUCAAUCCUGCAGCAGCAACAUUGCACCAUCAUGUUCAGUUAAACACAAUAGUUCCAUCACUAUUUCUAAACAAAAUUAACAGUUUUCUUGUCAUUACAUAGAAUAAGCAACAUUAACAUGUGAAAAACAAAAUUAAGUAUCAGCCAUUACAAAACAAUUGCCUUGCUCAAAAAACAGGCCAUGCCAGGAAAGUUUAGCAUGUUAUUCACCUUCACCUUCAAGUCAAAACUAAUUGCAGCAAUGCAUCUAAUGUGGAUUCAAUUACCUAGUAUGUUAUCUACUAACAUAGCAUUCAAUCAACUAAAUGAAUAAGGGGACUUUCACAUUUUUAUUCACUUAACUCAACAAAUCGAAAUUAACAAUUAACCUCUCUUUUCAUCUAACAACAUGCAUCACAACUAAUAACAGAUCCUAACUAACAACUAACAAAUCAUAACUAACCUAACAGAUUAUUUAACAGAGAAUAUAACUUCUAACUAAUUUAAGCUGAGAAAGAUUUAACAGAGUUAAUCUCUGUUAAAUUGAAUUUCUAUAUAAUCAGGUUUCAAUCAUCACUUUGGGGGAUUCCAUUUUCACUCUCUCUCAGUCUCAUCUUCAUUUAUCUACAAAUCUCAAUAACCAAAAGCAUCAAGCUCAUCACAAAAGCAACAGCGAUAACACACAUAUAGCAGGGUUGGAGAAGAAGAAGUGCAAGCAAUAGGAGGAGAGUCGAGGAAGAAGAAAAACAAAACGAUACCUACGAGGCGAUCAUCAACGUCGAUUUCGGAAAGCUACCGCGUCGAUAUUCUUCUCCGGUACGUAUGCUAUGGAUCCUCGUAUUAGUUAAUUGAUGUGCGACGUUUUGAACCAUUUUAGGUCUUUGAAUUUAGCCUAAGUUUAUGCUCAUCACAUAUUCAUUAAUUGGUUAGAUAAUUCAAAAAUAAUCUUGAUUUCUU
rnacentral:lncRNA from 1 species